rnacentral:rRNA from 1 species
GAUGAACGCUGGCGGCGUGCCUAAUACAUGCAAGUCGAACGCGCAGCGAAAGGUGCUUGCACCUUUCAAGCGAGUGGCGAACGGGUGAGUAACACGUGGAUAACCUGCCUCAAGGCUGGGGAUAACAUUUGAAAACAGAUGCUAAUACCGAAUAAAACUUAGUAUCGCAUGAUACAAAGUUAAAAGGCGCUACGGCGUCACCUAGAGCUGGAUCCGCGGUGCAUUAGUUAGUUGGUGGGGUAAAGGCUUACCAAGACGAUGAUGCAUAGCCGAGUUGAGAGACUGAUCGGCCACAUUGGGACUGAGACACGGCCCAAACUCCUACGGGAGGCUGCAGUAGGGAAUCUUCCACAAUGGGCGCAAGCCUGAUGGAGCAACGCCGCGUGUGUGAUGAAGGCUUUCGGGUCGUAAAGCACUGUUGUAUGGGAAGAAAUGCUAAAAUAGGGAAUGAUUUUAGUUUGACGGUACCAUACCAGAAAGGGACGGCUAAAUACGUGCCAGCAGCCGCGGUAA